CCUACGUGAGGCAGCAGUGCGGAAUAUUGGUCAAUGGACGAGAGUCUGAACCAGCCAAGUAGCGUGAAGGAUGACUGCCCUAUGGGUUGUAAACUUCUUUUAUAUGGGAAUAAAAUGUUCCACGUGUGGGAUUUUGUAUGUACCAUAUGAAUAAGGAUCGGCUAACUCCGUGCCAGCAGCCGCGGUAAUACGGAGGAUCCGAGCGUUAUCCGGAUUUAUUGGGUUUAAAGGGAGCGUAGGUGGAUUGUUAAGUCAGUUGUGAAAGUUUGCGGCUCAACCGUAAAAUUGCAGUUGAAACUGGCAGUCGUAGGUACAGUAGAGGUGGGCUGAAUUCGUGGUGUAGCGGUGAAAUGCUUAGAUAUCACGAAGAACUCCGAUUGCGAAGGCAGCUCACUGGACUGCAACUGACACUGAGGCUCGAAAGUGUGGGUAUCAAACAGGAGUAGAUACCCCUGUAGUC
rnacentral:rRNA from 1 species